rnacentral:rRNA from 1 species
CCGACUCGGGGAGGUAGUGACAAUAAAUAACAAUACAGGGCUUACAGUCUUGUUAUUGGAAUGAGAACAAUUUAAAUCCCUUUACGAGGAUCAAUUAGAGGGCAAGUCUGGUGCCAGCAGCCGCGGUAAUUCCAGCUCUAAUAGCGUAUAUUAAAGUUGUUGCAGUUAAAAAGCUCGUAGUCGGAUGUCGGGUUCGGGGUGGCUGUCGGCCUAGGUCGGAUGGCCGUUCCGGAUCUUUCUGCCUGGGGAUCCUAUUCUUCUUAACCGAGGGGUAGUGGGACGCAGGCCGUUUACUUUGAAAAAUUAGAGUGUUCAAAGCAGGCUUUGUCUUGAAUACAUUAGCAUGGAAUAAUGGAAUAGGACUUUGGUCUUAUUUGUUGGUUUAUGGGACCGAAGUAAUGAUUAACAGGGACAGUUGGGGCCGUUUAUAUUUCGUUGUCAGAGGUGAAAUUCUUGGAUUUACGAAAGAUAAACUUCUGCGAAAGCAUUCGGCAAGGAUGUUUUCAUUGAUCAA